rnacentral:lncRNA from 1 species
AUGUGGCCGCUACGGGUCUAUACCCGCAAAAAGCGGGAGGGUCAGAGGCUCAAUCUCACCCCGACGCCAGACCUAGGCUCUCCAGCGAAGGCCGAGGCCCCGCCAGGUACAGGCUCAAGGCUCGCCCACCGUAAGCUCAGCCGAGCUGCCUCCGGGACGGGACCGAGGGCGGGCGGGGGUGCUAGGCCUCGGGCCCAGGACCCCCCCGAAGCCGGUGGGUAGGUUUCUUGCCCUGAAACGUGCCGCCCUCUCUCAGGUUCGAAGAGAAAAGGCAAAGUGCACGGCUUGUCGAAGAUUGCAGAGAAAGCAGAGCGGAGCAGGCAGGGAGGUAGCGGCUCUGGGCCGUUCAGCCCUCGCUUAGGAGUUACAGGAGAGAAAAGCCUGCAAGAAAAUAGGUCUAGUGAAGACACCCAGGAUGAGAAGAUUGCAUCGUUGCGUGAAUCAGUUACUGAUGACCUCCAGGUUGAUAGUAGUUCAUCAAAUAGUGAACUAGUAUCAGGAUUAAGUUUGCACCAUGGUAUGGCCAGUUCUCUUCUGAGCUAUUCAGUCACAGACUCUUAUGCAGAAUACAAGAGUUUUGAAGAGAGCUUUCCAUCACCUGAACUGUUCAGAAAAUCAGAUUAUUUAGACUGGGAGUGUCCCAACUUGGAAGAACACAUGCAGUGGAAGAAUUCUACUCUUCUGGAUACCAGUAAAGCAGUAGCGAUAGAGAAGGCACCACAGUUUUCAAAUGUCUCAGCAAUUUUCAGUACCUCUUCAGAAGACUAUCAGAAAUGCCAUAGAAAAACAGUGAUGACAGUAGCAGAUCAAAAUGUUUCUCCAAAAGCAAAGUGUGCUUCAAAUUCAGAAUCAGUUAUAGAUAAUGCAGCUUGUGAGAUUUUACUUGCUGAGAAAACUUGCCCUUCAACCCCUGAAAAAACAAAGAAAAAACCUGGAAAAGAUUCUGAACAUAGAGUUACAAAUUUUCAGUUAAACUCUCAUUAUCUAAAAGUCAAGGUUCCGUCUUCCCACUAUAGGUCUGCUUUUAUGUUAAAUGAUGAGUUAAUGGCUGCAGCACACCAACAUGGCACAUGUAUACAUAUGUAACUAACCUGCACGUUGUGCACAUGUACCCUAAAACUUAAAGUAUAAUAAAAAUAAAUAAAUAAAUAAAAAGAAAAAAAAAAGAAAGCAAUGCAGGUAGAACAGUUUAGUUCUGCUGCCUCAGUCCCCAAAACCUGCAUUGAAAACAAAUUCCAGUACUCCUGGUAAGAAAAACAGAGGCCUUUUAACAAGUACUCCAUCUUCAGAGACAGCUGGUUUUGUGAUUGAUUUGUCCUCAGUGCAAAAAGCAUCUUUUGAAGAACUAUUUCCAAAUGUCAGCAAUUAUGUUAAUUCAAAUGAAAUUGUUCCUGUGUCAAGUUUGCAGGAAAAUUCUUCAAAUGAGUUUCCUGCAAAUGCAUCAGAAAUAUGUUGUAUUAUUAGAACAUCACCAGGAACUAGACAAGUGAAAAAUAAAGGUGUUAUUGUAAAGAAGAAGAAAUAUUCUCUUCCUAAGGAUACCCCUCAAGAUAUCAUAAUAAAAAUGGCAUGAAAAAA